rnacentral:rRNA from 1 species
GAUGAACGCUGGCGGCGUGCCUAAUACAUGCAAGUCGAACGAGGUGCUUUUGUAGCAAUACGAGGGUAUCCUAGUAGCGAACGGGUGAGUAACGCGUUGGUGACCUGCCUCGAAGUGUGGGAUAACAGUCCGAAAGGAUUGCUAAUACCGCAUGUGGCCAUCGGGUUUAGAAACAGAUGUCUAAAGCAGCAAUGCGCUUUGGGAGGGACCUGCGUCCCAUCAGCUAGUUGGUGAGGUAACGGCUCACCAAGGCGACGACGGGUAGGGGGCCUGAGAGGGUGGCCCCCCACAAUGGAACUGAAACACGGUCCAUACACCUACGGGUGGCAGCAGUAGGGAAUAUUGCACAAUGGGCGAAAGCCUGAUGCAGCAACGCCGCGUGAGCGAAGAAGGCCUUCGGGUCGUAAAGCUCUUUUCUGGGAGAUGAGAAAGGACAGUAUCCCAGGAAUAAGUCUCGGCUAACUACGUGCCAGCCGCCGCGGUAAGAC